UGCGCAGGCGGACUCGUAAGUCAGUGGUGAAAUCUCAUAGCUUAACUAUGAAACUGCCAUUGAUACUGCAGGUCUUGAGUAAGGUAGAAGUAGCUGGAAUAAGUAGUGUAGCGGUGAAAUGCAUAGAUAUUACUUAGAACACCAAUUGCGAAGGCAGGUUACUAUGUCUUAACUGACGCUGAUGGACGAAAGCGUGGGGAGCGAACAGGAUUAGAUACCCUGGUAGUCC
rnacentral:rRNA from 1 species